GACGAACGCUGGCGGCGUGCCUAAUACAUGCAAGUCGAGCGAAGCGGCGGUUGGGUGAGAACCGCGUGGGUAACCUGGCUUAAAGUCUGGGAUACUAUUUGGAACCAGAUGCUAAUACCGGAUACUAAGGGAGGGACCUGGGAUGCAUUAGCUAGUGGGUAAGGUAACGGCUUACCAAGGCGAUGAUCCAUAGCCGGUUUGAGAGGCUGAUCGGCCACAUUGGAACUGAGACACGGCCCAAACUCCUACGGGAGGCAGCAGUAGGGAAUCUUCCACAAUGUACGAAAGCCUGAUGCAGCAACGCCGCGUGAGUGAAGAAGGUUUUCGGAUCGUAAAGCUCUGUUGUUGGUGAAGCGGUAAUCAACCAGAAAGUAACGGCUAACUACGUGCCAGCAGCCGCGGUAAUUC
rnacentral:rRNA from 1 species